CGUAGUUUAGUGGUAGAACUCUAGCUUCCCAAGCUAGCUGUACGGGUUCGAUUCCCGCCGG
rnacentral:tRNA from 1 species